rnacentral:lncRNA from 1 species
CCUUGCAGUGCCAGCUCCAUGGAGGCCAGAGAGCAUUCUGGCUCCUUUCUGCACAGAGAACAGUGCCUGGCACAUAGUAGGAGCUCAGUAGAACAUUUGCUGAGUGAGCAAACGAACCAGCUGUUUCUGGAUGUGCAGAGAAGAGGCUGAAGAUGAACUAAGAAACAGGGCAGUGCAUGGCCGCCUGGGUCCUGACCCUCGUGCUGCAGACCCUGGGGAAUCAGCGAGGAGGACCAAGCCACUGCCCUUGCCCAGCUGUCCCAGACGUUGGGGGAAGAGGCGGAUGUGUGGCUGGCUGGCCCUGGCCACAAACAGCCUCCCGGGACAGCCUGGGCUCUGCCGGGGCCUGUCCCGAAGCUCCUGGUUCCUGCUGUGCUACUCGAGCCAUGGCCAGCGCCCGGCCGAGGAUCAGGGAGCCGGAGACAAACAGCGGCAAAGCCAAGGGCUGGGAAGGAGGUGAGCCCAACAGGGAUGGCUGGGGACAUCGGUCUCCUGAGCUUCCCUGCAGAAGGGCUGAGAGCGUCCAGCACAUGGCCAGGGGCCUGGCCCCCUCAGGACUCCUUGAAGACACACUGUAGGCGGCUAAACCUACGCGGAGCCGCCACGGCCUCUCUCCAGACCGGGCUGUUCUUCCCGCCUCAGGUGCCUCUCCACGCUCCUUCUGCCACGGAACUCCUGAUACGGGGCCUCCCCCACGUCUUCUGAGGUGGACUCUCCCUGCUGCGGCCGCCACCAUCACAGCUAACGCUUAGCAAAUAGGCCCCAUGUGGGAUGGGAUUCCAACUCCAAAGCCACCAUGAAGCUAGGUCGCAGCCAUGUGCAGCUCAGGGUGGCUGAGGUCAUCAGCUCCUGUGCUGGCCAUAGAGACAGAGCCCACACACCCUCACAGCGUCACAACACGAUGCCCUCCAGCACUGGACGUGGCCUCCAGCACUGUCCCUGGGCACCCUCUCCUGAUCCUUUUCCUUUGGCAUCUGUUUGACACUGAGAAUCUGGAGAAACAGGGCCAUACCACUUGACCAGAUGCCCGGCUGUCUCUCCUCCCCUCCCUGCCCACCUGGCAAACUCUUGCUGGGGCCUCUCAGAGCCCACCUCCCAGCAGGUGCCUCUUCUCAGGGUCCCACGGCUCUCCCCGGCACCGCCAGACAGUGACCCUUCAGUUUCCAGGGUCCAGCACCAACCUGGCCCAGGUGUGCUCAGUGUUUAUCGAAUGAAUGAAUCCAGCCCAACACAGGUGGGUUCUAAAGUCCACCUGGAGUCACAGGGAUUAAACCGGGUGCUGGUUUGGGUACUUAAUAAAACUGUGAUUGCAGGAAGGUCUGCUCACCCACUUGAACCUCAGUUUCCUCCUCCACAGGGUGCAGCAGUGGGGAACAAAGACGGGCGGAAGGGCAUCAUACCCUGAGUUCAUCUGUGAGGGGUCCUGGUGUCAGUUGGAGCCCAGGUCAGGGAAGGAGGGCUUGGGAGUG